CACAAUUUAAUACAAGCGCUUGAUUAGACCAUUGAUUGCCAGAUACACUUGGUAGAGUCUAUCCUCAGACUCUGGCCAUCGAUCUCUUGUAUACUAUGCUCAGGGGUGUCCACAAGUGGCUGGGCCUGGGAUGUAUUGUCAAGCCUAUAGCCCAAUCCUUGGUAUCUGGAUCAAGAUAUGACAUUACGGCACUGGUACUGGUGUUGUGAUAGCCUCCUUCACCGGCCUUCAAGGAAGUGCGGCCUGGGAUCGUGGCUAGUUUGUGUGGACCAUCACUGAGCAAAAUGGAACCUUCCCCUCCAACCCCCGUCGUACUCCUCCUAGCUGAUGGGUGUGAACUAAUUGAAAGAGGAUGCCCCAGUGCCACUCGUGUCCUUCCCAAGGGUCCGAUCUUAUAGAACUACCUGCACUAAAACUACGGACGUGGAAUGGCUCUUUCAACACUUGUGGUUGCUAUCCUGACCAGUGACGUCAGGAUUCUACUGUCUCUUGAUGCACUGUGAACACACAAUCUUUGUUAUGCCACCUGAAGGCUUAGCAGGCAUAUCCAACGCAGUAUUUAUUAAGUCUUUCUGGAAGCUCUUGUUUGAGAUCUUCGCUUCUAAACAUCUGCAUUUUAUUAUGGACACAGUACUGCUGUGCACAGUAUUAAUUUCUAGUGUCAUUAUAUCAUUAUAUCGCUGUAUUUUUAGCCAACUGUGAUAAACUGAAGAUUUUACAGUCAUAGCUGAUACUUACCAGUUUCCAGUCACGCCCAGAUACAAUCAAUACCAGGCCGAGGAGGCGACCUAGCGUUCAAUUAGAGACGGAUCGGCCUGGGAUCGAGGCUAGCAGUGUGGCUACUUUACACACAUACCCCGCUGUCAAGUUGACAGGCUAAAACCAGCUAGUGUAACUGACACAUGAGUAACAGGUAAGGCUAUAUAAGGCUAUAUAAUCAUACACACACGCUUACGUAGCAUGGCUGCAAGCAAGGCUAUACACACACCUACACACACCCAUCUGGGAACAGAGAGCAACGGGUAGGGCUAUACACACACCUAAGUUGACAGCAAGCAAGGCUUUACACACACACCCCACUGCCUAAGUCGACUGGCCUAAGCCAGUGUAACUGACACAUGGGAACAGAGAGCAACAGGUAAGGCUAUACAAACACAUCUAAGUUGACAGGCUAAAGGCGGGAAACAGCAAGCAAGGCUUUACACACACACCCCACUGCUGAAGUCGACUGGCCUAAGCCAGUGUAACUGACACAUGGGAACAGAGAGCAACAGGUAAGGCUAAGUUGACAGGCUAAAGGCGGGAAACAGCAAGCAAGGCUUUACACACACACCCCACUGCCUAAGUCGACUGGCCUAAGCCAGUGUAACUGACACAUGGGAACAGAGAGCAAGGCUUUACACACACACCCCACUGCCUAAGUCGACUGGCCUAAGCCAGUGUAACUGACACAUGGGAACAGAGAGCAACGGGUAAGGCUAUACAAACACAUCUAAGUUGACAGGCUAAAGGCGAGAAACAGCAAGCAAGGCUUUACACACACACCCCACUGCCUAAGUCGACUGGCCUAAGCCAGUGUAACUGACACAUGGGAACAGAAAACAACAGAAAACAACGGGUAUAGCCAUACCCUAUACAGUUGAUUGGCUAAAGGCGGGACAGAAAACAGCUAGCUAUACACACCACACACCCCUAAGCCAGUGUAACUGACACAUAUGGGGAGAGAACAAUAUUAUCUGUAGAAGCCUGACCAUCCUCUCCCCAUGGAUAUCCACUCGACUCGUUCAACUCAGACGUCUAGUCUAUAGACUCGCAAGCCGCCACUGUUGCACGCGAACAGUACUGAGAAAAAUCUAUGCUCGAAUCAAGGCAGAUUUAGACUACAACGUCGAGGGCGGCACUUCCGAUAUCUACACAUGCGCAGUAUUAUUAGGAGCACAUGGUCAGCCAGCUGCACAGCACAGUACACAGUUCUCUAGCUCGAUUGAAAUCAAUGGCUCGCAACUUAAACCUAGAAGCUUUUGACUUAAGUGAUCAUGAAUUAAGUGAUAGCUGCAGCAAUGGAUCAUUGGAUAGGCGGCAGUACCCUGGUAGUCAAAAGAGACGGCGUCCGGCGUUCGCUUCCAGUUCUAGUGAAGACGAGGACAACGAUGGCCUAGAACAAUCGUCAACACCACCCAAAAGAACAAAGAAGAAAAAGAAGUCCCUCCAGGCUGCUAGUUCUACCAGCUCCAAUGUCAUGAUUUUAAAGGAACUACAGAAAACUAACUCAGCAAUUGAAAAGCUUGUGUCUACAGUAAAGACUACCCAGAGAAGAGUAAGAAAUGUUGAAGAGCAGAUUUCCAGCUCGUCUUGUAGCACUCCAAAGAGGAAAAAGAAAAAUGUCCCUGAUGAAGUUAGACGUGAAACAAGACGGAUCUACGGUGUGCUGUUAACAGAGGAUCAGAAAACUUCCUUGGGUGGAAAACCGAGCCUGGAUGACCAAAACCAAGUGACUUUGAAUCGCUUACUCAAGGAGGUUAAAGGCUUUAAACUCGGGAUUCCUCACUGAGCAUAUCAAAGACGCUGCUUAUCGAUUUUAUCGUUCACGUAACGAGGAGGAGCCAUCUCGUAGGCGAGGAAAACUAGGAGCCAAAAACAAAAGCAAAAGAAAACAUGAACGGCUUGCGAGGGUAUGUAUAAUUGUCCUGUGGGUGUUGUAUGAUGCAUCGGCUUGCGUGCUAUAGCUGGGUAUGUUAACUUCUAAGGGUGUACUGUUGUAUGGUGCAUUUCGAUGGCCUUGCUACAAUUGCUCUGUGAAAAUUUCCAAUUUGUGCAAAUGUUCCUAUUAGGCAAGGCAUGGUAAACAUGUGGCGUAGUCGCUAGAAGUAUUGGCCCUCAAAAAUUACCUGCUAUGCCUCUCUGCAAUAUCCGAUAUUUUGAAUAUGCACUCUUCUACAAUGCAUGGCAUUCCAAGUAAGCAAAACUAUAGGCAUAACUCGAGAACCAAUCAUUAUUUUGCAAAUCCACGAAUUACAUCAGAAGCCCAUAAAGAGAAGGACUACGGGGAUCACGUUUCGUAAGUAGUUAUGACCGCAUCCUGAGGACUUCUAAAUCACGUGGAAACUCCGUGACUAGAAGCCUGUAUAAUUAUAUAGAAACUCUUAUUUGCACUUUAUUGAUUCUUGAGCAGCUGUAGCAGUCUACACAGACAGACAGACACAAACACACUACCGUACGUAUACCUCGCUUGUGCAUGUGCAUGCGCACCGAGGCAUAACGGCUUCCUGUGCAGCUUGCUUUCCAUUGAGGUAUCAAUCAGCAAUUAGCACCCGUUGCACUUUGAGUCAAGUAGUACACUGUACACAGAGCUAGAACCCUUAGCAUGCACUGGCUACAAGCUAU